CGUGGGGUUCCUGAGCCUUCAUUCAGGGUCAGUGCUUUAAGAACUAGGCAAUAUAGCACCCAGUGACCUUUCCGAGUCCUUGGCCGGGCAGAUCCCUGAGGCAUGCACCAGGGGUCCUAUACCAAAUGUUUCAAAGUCUUUUUAAAAAUAUUUGGGUCCCCAUGAAGCCCUAUUCUACCCAAGUUUAUCAGAAGAUUUGAGUAGGAAUGGGGUUGAUGGGCUUCAUCAUUUAUAAAAUUAGGAGUGCUGAUGAAGGAAGUAAAGCUCUGAAAGCUUCUAGUCCUGCACCUGCUCAUGGUCAUCACUAAGCAGCUUUACUUAGAAUACACACCAGAUGGAACAUCGGUCUGGCUGUAAAGCUCAGCAAGCUCUGUUAGAUGGGGACAUGGAGCAUUGCUGUAAACUUGUAAACAUGUCAUUUCCUUUGUGACAUGAAUCAAGGUAUCUGUGAGGUACACCAAACAAACAAAAAAAUUGGGCAACAAAAAAGUGUUGUGCUUAUCAUUAUUUUUAAACCCUCCUGGGAUGAUGUGUGCUUGCUCUUGUCUUGUCUUUGCACUCAAGGCAGAAGAUGCAGUGAAGGACCUAAGGUACAGCCUGGAACAUAGGUGCCGGGACUCUCGGGAGGCCGGCGACGGCCCGCGCCACAGGUGGCAUCCGGGGCGGGGCCUGCGCGCCGUCGGGCGGCGGGGGCGUGGCCUGGGCUCCGCGGCGGGGGCCUGGCCCCUCCCCAGAUGCCUCCGCGCGCCCGCCGCCCUCCAGCGCGCCAGGCUUCCCGAGCGCCCAGUGCGCAGGCGCCGGCGGGGGGCUCCGAGCGUGCGCCGAGAUGGAGCGCGGUCGGAGCGCGCGGCGGCGGUUGCCCCGCGGACUGACGGGAGGUCGGGCCGCCCGCCGUGUCGCCCUGCGCCUGCUGAACUCCGAGCGCCCGAGGAUGUCAGCGCUGAGGAAGGUCUGUAUGAGCUGUUGGCUCUUGUGCCAGGCCAGCUGGGGCCACGUGUGGACAGCCAGGAAGACCUGACCUUCCUCUGGGAUAUGUUUGGUGAGAAAAUCCUGCAUUCACUGGUAAAGUGCUGA
rnacentral:lncRNA from 1 species